rnacentral:rRNA from 1 species
UACUUCCUACGGGGGGCAGCAGUGGGGAAUAUUGCACAAUGGGGGAAACCCUGAUGCAGCGACGCCGCGUGAGUGAAGAAGUAUUUCGGUAUGUAAAGCUCUAUCAGCAGGGAAGAAAAUGACGGUACCUGACUAAGAAGCCCCGGCUAACUACGUGCCAGCAGCCGCGGUAAUACGUAGGGGGCACGCGUUAUCCGGUUUUACUGGGUGUAAAGGGAGCGUAGACGGUAGAGCAAGUCUGAAGUGAAAGCCCGCGGCUCAAC